CUACGGGAGGCAGCAGUGGGGAAUAUUGCACAAUGGGCGCAAGCCUGAUGCAGCCAUGCCGCGUGUGUGAAGAAGGCCUUCGGGUUGUAAAGCACUUUCAGCGGGGAGGAAGGCGGUGAGGUUAAUAACCUCAUCGAUUGACGUUACCCGCAGAAGAAGCACCGGCUAACUCCGUGCCAGCAGCCGCGGUAAUA
rnacentral:rRNA from 1 species